rnacentral:rRNA from 1 species
UACGUAGGGUGCGAGCGUUAAUCGGAAUACUGGGCGUAAGGCGUGCGCAGGCGGUUUGUAAGUUUGUCGUGAAGCCCCGGGCUCAACCUGGGAAUUGCGAUGAAGACUGCAAGGCUUGAAUCUGGCAGAGGGGGUAGAAUUCCACGUGUAGCAGGUGAAAUGCGGUAGAUAUUCGACAAGAACACCAGUGGCGAAGGCGGCUCACUGGCCCGAUACUGACGCUGACGGCACGAAAGCGUGGGAGCAAACAGG